rnacentral:tRNA from 1 species
ACUUAAAUAGCUUAUAAUUAGAGUAUGAUAUUGAAGAUAUCAGGGAAGUUGUUUAACUUUUAAGUA